rnacentral:rRNA from 1 species
GAUGAACGCUAGCGGCAGGCCUAAUACAUGCAAGUCGAGGGAGAAUGUUGGAUUCGUCUGACAUGAAACCGGCGCACGGGUGCGUAACACGUAUGCAACCUACCUUUAACUGGGGUAUAGCUCGGAGAAAUCUGAAUUAAUCCCCCAUAAGACUACGACAUGGCAUCAUGAUGUAGUUAAAGCUCCGGCGGUUAAGGAUGGGCAUGCGGUACAUUAGCUAGUUGGUGAGGUAAUGGCUCACCAAGGCUACGAUGUAUAGGGGGUCUGAGAGGAUGAUCCCCCACACUGGUACUGAGACACGGACCAGACUCCUGCGGGAGGCAGCAGUAGGGAAUAUUGGUCAAUGGACGCAAGUCUGAACCAGCCAUGCCGCGUGAAGGAUGAAGGCCCUAUGGGUCGUAAACUUCUUUUAUUAGGGAAGAAAAAACGGGAUGCGUCCUGUACUGACGGUACUUAAUGAAUAAGGAUCGGCUAACUUCGUGCCAGCCGCCGCGGUAA